GACGAACGCUGGCGGCGUGCCUAAUACAUGCAAGUUGAGCGAUGAAGAUUGGUGCUUGCACCAAUUUGAAGAGCAGCGAACGGGUGAGUAACGCGUGGGGAAUCUGCCUUUGAGCGGGGGACAACAUUUGGAAACGAAUGCUAAUACCGCAUAACAACUUUAAACAUAAGUUUUAAGUUUGAAAGAUGCAAUUGCAUCACUCAAAGAUGAUCCCGCGUUGUAUUAGCUAGUUGGUGAGGUAAAGGCUCACCAAGGCGAUGAUACAUAGCCGACCUGAGAGGGUUAUCGGCCACAUUGGGACUGAGACACGGCCCAAACUCCUACGGGAGGCAGCAGUAGGGAAUCUUCGGCAAUAGACGAAAGUCUGACCGAGCAACGCCGCGGGAGUGAAGAAGGUUUUCGGAUCGUAAAACUCUGUUGGUAGAGAAGAACGUUGGUGAGAGUGGAAAGCUCAUAAAGUGACGGUAACUACACAGAAAGGGACGGCUAACUACGUG
rnacentral:rRNA from 1 species